AACGAACGCUGGCGGCAUGCCUAACACAUGCAAGUCGAACGAGACCUUCGGGUCUAGUGGCGCACGGGUGCGUAACGCGUGGGAACCUGCCCUUAGGUUCGGAAUAACAGUUAGAAAUGACUGCUAAUACCGGAUAAUGUCUUCGGACCAAAGAUUUAUCGCCUUUGGAUGGGCCCGCGUAAGAUUAGGUAGUUGGUGGGGUAAUGGCCUACCAAACCGACGAUCUUUAGCUGGUCUGAGAGGAUGAUCAGCCACACUGGGACUGAGACACGGCCCAGACUCCUACGGGAGGCAGCAGUGGGGAAUAUUGGACAAUGGGCGAAAGCCUGAUCCAGCAAUGCCGCGUGAGUGAUGAAGGCCUUAGGGUUGUAAAGCUCUUUUACCAGGGAUGAUAAUGACAGUACCUGGAGAAUAAGCUCCGGCUAACUCCGUGCCAGCAGCCGCGGUAA
rnacentral:rRNA from 1 species